rnacentral:sRNA from 2 species
ACCCACUGCUGCCAAUCUAUCUACCACUGCCAAUCUAUCUACUGCUGCCAAUCUAUCUAUCACUGCUAAUCUAUUGCUGCUAAUCUAUUGCUGCUAAUCUAUUGCUGUCAAUCUAUCUAUCACUAUCAAUCUAUCUACUGCUGCCAAUCUAUCUAUCACUGCUAAUCUAUCACUGCUAAUCUAUCACUGCUAAUCUAUCACUGCUAAUCUAUUGCUGUCAAUCUAUCUACCACUGUCAAUCUAUCUACCACUGCCAACCUAUCUAUCACUGCCAAUCUAUAUAGGGUAAAUCAUGAUCUCAUUUGAUUCCAUUUUGUAAAAUGAGAUCAAAUGGAAUCAGAAUCACUAAUUUAUUAGUAAAACAUGAUCUGAGACUAGAUUUAUAAUAUAAACAGUAUAAAGUAACUAAUUUGCUAAACACUAUAUGGAAUCAGAACUAAGAUAUCUAAUAAUGAAACUGAGGAAAAAUUUAGUCCCAGUCUCAUGUAUAAUCACACAGUCAGUCUAACCCCCUCACAUAUCAAUGUGUGUGAUGUGUUUCUAUAAAUAUUCCAUGCUAGCUAUUUUAACCU